AGAGCGAACGCUGGCGGCAGGCCUAACACAUGCAAGUCGAGCGCCCGUAGCAAUACGGGAGCGGCAGACGGGAUAGUAACACGUGGGAACGCGCCCUUCGGUUCGGAAUAACUCAGGGAAACUUGAGCUAAUACCGGAUACGCCCUUACGGGGAAAGAUUUAUUGCCGAAGGAACGGCCCGCGUCCGAUUAGCUAGUUGGUGAGGUAAUGGCUCACCAAGGCGACGAUCGGUAGCUGGUCUGAGAGGAUGACCAGCAUCACUGGGACUGAGACACGGCCCAGACUCCUACGGGAGGCAGCAGUGGGGAAUAUUGGACAAUGGGCGCAAGCCUGAUCCAGCCAUGCCGCGUGGAUGAUGAAGGCCUUAGGGUUGUAAAGUCCUUUUAAACGGGGAAGAUAAUGACGGUACCGUAGAAUAAGCCCGGCUAACUUCGCGCCAGCAGCCGC
rnacentral:rRNA from 1 species